CUGCCGGGGUUCCCUGGCCCCACAGGGGCGGGGGCUGCCAGCGGGUCACGUGGGGGUCAGAGAGAAGAGGAGGGAAUCGAAAAAAAGCCGCGAGCAUCUCAAGGAGUCAAAGAGUCUGCGCCUCCGCUUGCCAAUGUCCAGUCUUGAGGGUUCAAGAAGACAUUCGGACGGCUCUCAGUAGAACGUAAUCUUCUAAAGAGCACAUGCAGUUUAUUAAGGACAAUGCCAUCGUGGCCACGUGACUUGUAAGUGCAACAUUCGAGACGUUUGCUGUAAUAAUUAAACACCACAAGAGAACUUUUUAAAAACUCGAGUCUAAUUAAGGUUUGUCCUUCAGGAAAAAGGUGACUCCAUCUCUAAUGUGAGUAUUCAUGAGCUUUUCAUUUUAAGAGGGCUAGUUUGUGGGUAAACAGAUGCCUGAAGAGACGGUCACAGGAGGAGCUCAUGCAGUUUUAAUAGAUGGCAGUGCUGCGGCAUCAGAAAAUGAUGCCGGCUGGAGUGACAGCGUCUGAUGACUGUACCCUUGGUCGGCUCUGUUUUUAUGAAUGGUCUUAGGGUUCUCCCUUCCUGCCCAGGUCGGUGAUGCUGGCUGGAUUUGGGAACCCAUCAUUUUAUCUUCCAGGUGACAGUCCUCUCAUGGGGUGGCAUCCGUUUUCUCCCUUAGCAUCCUCUAAAUGCUUCUCCAAGAAGCCACCUCCCACAGGGCUCGUGCAGUGAGGAAGGAGGAAGUGAGGAAGGGAGGAGAUAAGGCCUCCUGCCCAUGACCAAUCUGAGCAUCACGCUGGGUCUCCACCCUGGUCGCACCGUGGGUCCUGGAGACCAUUGCAAGUGAGCCGGGCCCUCUGGGAACCUGCAAGCCUCUGACUCCUCUCUCCCUCUCUGAAAGUGUGCUUUCGCCUUGAUAAAGUCUUCUAGGAAGCAUCUGGAAGAUUCUGUCCAGCAAGCAGGAGAGAAGGAGUGUGAACAAGGCAAAUAACAUUUUCCUAUUAUUAAAAGAGCUAAUGGAGGAGUUCCCGUUGUGGCUCAGCAGAUGAAGAACUUGACUAGGAUCCACGAGGAUGUGGGUUUGAUCCCUGGCUUCACUCGGAGGGUGAAGGGUCAGGCAUUGCCGAAAUAGGCUGCAGAUGUGGCUCAGAUCUGGUGUUGCCCUGGCUGUGGCAUAGGCCUGAGCUGUAGCUCCAAUACUGCCCCGACCCCAGCCUGGCAACUUCCAUAUGCUGCAGCUGAGGCUGUAAAAUAAAAUAAAUAAUAAUAAUAAAAAAAGCUAAAUGACCCCUCUGAUCUGAAAGGCUGAAAGGGUGUGACUGUACGUUGAGAGCUUCUGUUUUGCACUGUCUUUCUUUGGUUUCUAUGUUUGCAUCUUCAGUUAUUUUCAACACCUAAUGAAUCCUUUGUACCUGGCACUGUGUCAGCAGCUGGGAGGAAAAAGCAAAACAGGAGCUAAUCCUUAUGUUUGCAGACUAGAUGCAGGAGGCCUUUGCUCUAUUCUAGCGCCCUUGAGACUUAGCAGGAGGGGAGCACCAGCCCUCUGCAGCCCAGAGGAAGCUUCUGGCUUUACCUCUUCAUUCUACAUUUUCCACCUGCCCCUCUGCUGCCACGGCCUUGCCCCCCCAUCCCAACUGCCCCCCCAACUCACUCUUCACCUGCAGUUCUCCACCCACCCAUCAAAGGCUCUGGCCCUGUGGGCAGUUCUCCCUCCUGAGCCCUGCCCACCCCCUCGGCAGCAUCCCCCCCAGGGUCUUUAUCUCUGCCCGGUUUUCAAGCCUGGCUUCUCACUAGAAUCACCAGGCCAUCCUGCCUAUGCCUCUUCCUGGGAGGAGCCCAUUCAGCUGCUUUGGGGCAGCAACCCCGGAAUUGCCAUUUCUGGAAGCUUCCAGGUGACUCUGGAAUUUGAGCCUGGGAGCACUGAGAUAAAAUGUCAGACUGAAGAGGGCCGGUGGCCUCAUCAUCUUGAAUUGGUUUGGAAAUUUCAGUAUGCAUUCCUGAGGGCUUUCGUAUUGAAAACACUAUUCCUUCCUGUGUUGACUGGAAAAACCUAGAAACCAGGAGCAUUCCUACUGCCAGAAUUAGGGUUUCCACAUACCCUUUCCCUCCACACCAGGGCUCUUUGGAGAAGAGUGAUUCUAGGCUUGGAGCAGCAACUGAACAAGAUAAGCCUGGGACAUCUUGUCAUCUCAGAGAGCAAGGAUGUUGUCAUACCCCCCAGGUCCUGUCGAGAGCUGGCACAGAGAUGCAACAUCAUUAAAAGCAGUCAUUGCAGUGGCUCCGAACCCUCCAAUUAUGGUGAAACCUAUUCGUUCAUCAUGUUCUUUUUAAAAAGUACAUUGGUUAUCUUUGAAGAAUGUUAAGGAACCCAGCUCAUUUUUUGGAAAACCUGGCAGAGGAAGGAAAAGAAUCCAGCAUUUAUUAUCUUGACUUUCUUGUACAAACCAUUUCUCAGUAGAAGCAAAUAAUUGAUGAAGGGAAAUUUCUCUUUAUGGAAGUUAUCGCAGCUAAUAAAUGAAGGAAUGAUGAAAUUAGACAGUUGCCAUUUCACAGCCCCUAAUGAGUGGACGGAUCCGGGCUGAUAAAACCCCACACAGCAUUCUGUGUUCCCGAUGGAAGGCCGCAGUGCUACCUGUGAAAGGGUCUUGCCCAAACCUCAAACCUGAAUCCCAUGGUCUCUACACCACAGCUUGGCACACCCCUUCCUGGGGACCAGACCUGGCCUGCUGCCUGUUGUUGUAAAGAAAGCUUUGUUGAAACACAACUAUACCUGUUUGCUUAAAUCAUUGCAACAGAGACUGUCUGGCCCUUAACACCUAAAGUGCUUAAUGCCCAGCCCUUUAUAGACAGAGUCUGCCAACCCUGCCCUUGAUCGCAAGCAUCCCAAGACUCUUCUCCAUCCACUGCAGUUUUGGGACCUGAUUUAGAUCCUGAUUUGAACAGAUUGAAAAAGUGACGUAUGAGACAAUUAGAGAAACUUGAACACCAGCUGGAUGAUGCUAUGGAAUCCUCAUUAAUAUUUUUGAUGGAAUAUGAUGUCACGUGUGUGUGCGAGCAUGCGUGGGUGUUCCCAUCUAGUGGGGCAUUUGCUGCCAUGUUUAGGAAUGAAAUGAGGUUUGUUUCAAAGUAAUAUGGGUUGGUGGGGAAGGGGCCAGGCAGUGUUCUCAGUAAAAUAUAGACUCCUAGUCGUAACACUAUCGGCAGGUGCCAAUACCUUUCCCCUUUACAGAUGAGCAUCGAGACACAGAUCCAGAAUCCGAGGUCUGAUUUCAGAUCUUGUGUUCUCCCUCCAGUGGCUUGGGCCACCCCUUUGAUGUGCCCUUUCUGUGAAGCUGGGGAGGACCUCCAGGUGGCACCUGCCCGGGAGAUCGUACCGACAAUGUCCACAUCACUCAGGUAACAGACACGUUGGGGCGCCCCUGUCAGAUCUCACAUCACGGCCGGAGCCACGUGGGCCCAUAAGACCAGACAGCCCCUUCCCUCAGGGGCCACAGUGUAGCUGGAGACACACUGAAAAUACACUUCUGUCUGGGAGACACCACUCCAGCUUCCUUCUGUUUGCAUGAUGCUGAGCCCUUCUGUUUUUAGAGAAGUGUCACAAAUCCUAUCCCACCUUGAUCCUCAAGGCGGGAGGUGGAGAUGGUGGAUGCCUCUGUUUAUGAAGGGACAUUGACGGACCGGAGCACCGAGCUCUCACCACAUCCUGGAUGCUCUUGCCUCUAACGUACAUCCUCCAGCUUGUUCUCUGACGCUCCGAGGGGGACAUGAUGUCACGGAGGACAGUGGACGUCAGGUGCCCAGGCCAUGGAAGAGGCUGUGCGGCAAAGCGUUGAAGGUCAUCCUGAGGUCACUGUGGGUAAAUGGCCAACCUGAUUUAAACCUGACCCAUCCACUGCCCAAGCCUAUGUUCAUUUUUUUUUUCUUUUUUUUGGCUUUUUUAGGGCUGCA